GACGAACGCUGGCGGCGUGCUUAACACAUGCAAGUCGAGCGGAGCGGCGAACGGGUGAGUAACGCGUGAGUAACUGCCCCCCUCUCUGGGAUAAAAGUUGGAAAGGGAGGCUAAUACCGGAAAGGGGGGGGGGACUCGCGUCCUAUCAGAUUGUUGGUGGGGUGGGGGCCUACAAAGGCGACGACGGGUAGCCGGCCUGAGAGGGCGACCGGCCACAUUGGGCUGAGAUACGGCCCAAACUCUUACGGGAGGCAGCAGUGGGGAAUAUUGCACAAUGGGGGAAACCCUGAUGCAGCAACGCCGCGUGCGGGAUGACGGCCUUCGGGUUGUAAACCGCUUUCAGCCAUGACGCGGUAGUGGCAGAAGAAGCACCGGCUAACUACGUGCCAGCAGCCGCGGUAAUAC
rnacentral:rRNA from 1 species